CCUACGGGAGGCUGCAGUGGGGAAUAUUGGACAAUGGGCGAAAGCCUGAUCCAGCCAUGCCGCGUGUGUGAAGAAGGCCUUCGGGUUGUAAAGCACUUUCAGUGGGGGAGAAAGCCUUGGGGCUAAUACCCUCGAGGAAGGACAUCACCCACAGAAGAAGCACCGGCUAACUCCGUGCCAGCAGCCGCGGUAAUACGGAGGGUGCGAGCGUUAAUCGGAAUUACUGGGCGUAAAGCGCGCGUAGGCGGUCUGAUAAGCCGGUUGUGAAAGCCCCGGGCUCAACCUGGGAACGGCAUCCGGAACUGUCAGGCUAGAGUGCAGGAGAGGAAGGUAGAAUUCCCGGUGUAGCGGUGAAAUGCGUAGAGAUCGGGAGGAAUACCAGUGGCGAAGGCGGCCUUCUGGACUGACACUGACGCUGAGGUGCGAAAGCGUGGGUAGCAAACAGGAUUAGAUACCCUUGUAGUC
rnacentral:rRNA from 1 species